rnacentral:rRNA from 1 species
CCUACGGGGGGCAGCAGUGAGGAAUAUUGGUCAAUGGACGAGAGUCUGAACCAGCCAAGUAGCGUGAAGGAUGACUGCCCUAUGGGUUGUAAACUUCUUUUAUAAAGGAAUAAAACGAGGCACGUGUCCCUUUUUGCAUGUACUUUAUGAAUAAGGAUCGGCUAACUCCGUGCCAUCAGCCGCGGUAAUACGGAGGAUGCGAGGGUUAUCCGGAUUUAUUGGGUUUAAGGGGUGCGCAGGCGGAGGAGAACGUCAGUGGUCAAAUUGCGGGGCUCAAACCCGUACUGCCGUUGAAACUGCAUCCCUGGAGUGCGCGAGAGGUAUGCGGAAUGCGUGGUGUAGCGGUGAAAUGCAUAGAGAUCACGCAGAACUCCGAUGGCGAAGGCAGCAUACCGGCGCGCAACUGACGCUCAUGCACGAAAGCGUGGGUAUCGAACAGGAUUAGAUACCCCAGUAGUC